GAUGAACGCUGACAGAAUGCUUAACACAUGCAAGUCUACUUGAUUUAUGGUUUCGGCCGUAAUGAUGGUGGCGGACGGGUGAGUAACGCGUAAAGAAUCUGCCCUUUAGUCUGGGAUAACAGUUGGAAACGACUGCCAAUACCGGAUAUUAUGGAAUCAUCGCAUGAUGAGAUCAUGAAAGCUAUAUGCGCUAGAGGAGGACUUUGCGUCCCAUUAGCUAGUUGGUGAGGUAACGGCUCACCAAGGCGACGAUGGGUAGCCGGCCUGAGAGGGUGAUCGGCCACAAGGGAACUGAGACACGGUCCUUACUCCUACGGGAGGCAGCAGUGGGGAAUAUUGGACAAUGGGCCACAAGCCUGAUCCAGCAAUUCUGUGUGCACGAUGAAGGUCCUCGGAUUGUAAAGUGCUUUCAGUAGGGAAGAAUAAAUGACGGUACCUACAGAAGAAGCGAUGGCUAAAUAUGUGCCAGCAGCCGCAGUAACAC
rnacentral:rRNA from 1 species